AUCAGGGGAGGCCACUCAGGGUGGAGGGUGGAGGUAACGGGAUGGAGGGAGAAGGCGGGCGGUGAGGUAGGUUGGGGACCUGGCGGGUAAGCCCAGUAGCCCGCUUAAGCCAGAGUCUGGCCUCCUUUGCUUGAGGGGUGGGAGGCGGAAUGAGGAAGGGGCUGUGUAUGUGUUUAUAACGUCAGCAGCCGACAUUAACCAGCCAGCACCGUACCAGGAGCCAAAGUGUGCUGAUACACACAACUGCUGCCCAGUCCAAGUGGGAAGAUGAGGUGAGGCUGUUUUUAUUAGGUUAUACUAGGCCUUCAUGCAAAAAGGACUUUAAGAUAAAUGACAUAAAUUCAUACAGUGCAAUAAUAAGUGUAUUUCUGGACUCUUAAAGUAAGGACAGGAAACAAGUUGAAGACAGAGGAGCACUGAAAAGGCGGCCUGGUGCUCUUGAAUACGCGGGUCACCAGUUUCACUGUGAUAUCCUAAGAUCAGUAGAGAAAGUGAAACAGGAUUCAGUGUUCUUGUCCCCUGAGAGAGGCAUCAUGAUUCCUCAUGCUGACAGAGGUUUCUCCCCGGAACCUCAUUUUUUUUUAAAGGCAGUAGGUAAAGAACAGGGUCCUCAACAGCUCUGACGCAGAGCAGAGGUUUUCCCUAGGUUGCUUCCUGUUCUGGCAUUCGAUGUAAGUGGAUGGCAUAUUGCAGUAAAAGCAGUCAGGGAGGCCACCCCCAAGUCUUUCUUAAUCCCAGGGCUGAUUUUUAAGUACCCUGACCAUUUAUUCAUCUGCUUUAAAACAGCAGUAUAGGAAGCCCACUUUCAGACCCUCAGGCUUCCUCUCAGAUGACAUAGAAAAUUCUUCUCGUUGCAUAUAGCAACAAUACAUUUAAAAAGAGAGAGAAACCAAAAGGAAAUAACUGGACUCAAAAACAAGAUAAGCAUCAAGUGGACCAAAAAUUGUAAAAAGACAGGGAGCGAUGAGCAGGGCUGAAGCCACAUCCUACAUGUGCCUACAGGGCAGCGGCAGCUGGGAAGUAGAUGCUGGCACAGUAACAAGACCUAAAAUUGUGUCACUGGAGGAACAAAUGAGCAAAAGUCUCAUCCGAGGAGGGACUCCUCCCAUCCACGAUUACACAGGGCUAAGCAGUCAGGAAUUUAGAAAAUGAAAAGGCUUAACAGAGUGAUUAACCCUAAUGUUCUACUAGAAGAGCACUUCACAUAGCCUUCUUGGAGUUUGCUAAAUUAUGGCUCUAAGGACCAGCCUCUCCCCCCCGCCCAGCUAGGAACGGAGAGGUCAUCUCUUCUACCUGAAGGAGACAAGCAUCCCUAGUUUUUCCAACUUCCUUAAGAGCUUUGCACCCUCUGCUUCCCACAGGCACCAUAACUCCAUCUGGCCAGAUGGGAACUUUCCAGGUUUGCCCUUAGAUGCUUCAGGAUGUCAUGGUCUCAGAAAACAUCACGGGAAAACGUGAGGAUCAACCAGUUCUCGGUUACAAAGGAUGGGGACCAUAGUGGGUCAGUAUGAACUGAGAAGGGGGUAAGGUCCCUUCCGGACCCUUGGAUUGAGGAACACUGAUACCAUUUACGCCCAGGAAGGAAUACAGUAAGGCUGGUAGAAGGAAUACAGUAAGAGAAGUCACACAGUAGGCCCUGUUUACGAUCCCACAUAAAAUGAUGUGAAAAGGCUCAGGGAUGGAGCUUAGGUUCAUCAUCCCCAGAUAGCAAAGGGGAAAGAUGUAAAAAUAAGACAUCAGGGGAUCUUACUGUGUAUGUCCCUGAUUCACAUCCUGUAGUCCCUCACUACUCAAAAUUUGGUCCUUGAAUGUAUUGGGAUCACCUGGGGACUUGCUAGAAAUGCAGGAUCCCAUGCCCCACCCCAGAACCACCAAAUCCGUAUCUGCACUUUAACAAAAUCCCCAGGUGAUUCACAGUUCAAGAAGCAGUGCUAAAGUCACCUCUGUCAUUCCCUGCAUCUGGGUUGCUCUAGACUCGUAACAAGCCUCUUCCAAAUUGCUGCAGAGAAAAAGACCAGAGUAGGAAUUUAAAAGCAAGACUCUGUGAUUCAUAGGAACGUCACUACAGGAAGGAAGGCACUGCUUGACAGCCAAGUGACUGAAGACCACCUCAGUAGUAAUCCAUCAGAGUGAUUAGCUUUCUCUAAGAACAGCCUUCCCUGGGACUUAAUUGGUGGUCCAGUGGUUAGGACUCCACAUUUCUACUUCAGGGGGCACGGGUUCGAUCCCAGGUCGGGGAACUAGAUCAGGCAUGUUAUGCAGCACCACCAAAAAAAAAAAGAACAACUACUUUCCCAUCGGUCUCUAGUCUCCAGCCCUUAGGAGACAUGCCCUGGAAAUGAUGGUUUGGGGACAGGGCAGAGUGUAAGCCAAAAGAAUAUUACUCCUCUAGGGAAAGCUGUCCUGCCCCCAUUAAAUAGAUGACUGCUCCUCCCCAGGGGAAGCCUGUUAUACUGACAUCAGCUCUGUCUGAACUUGGAAAGCAUUCAGAAUGCUAAUAAGUCAAAUGACCAGAGCUGGGAAGGAUAGUUUGUUUUUGAAAUAACCCGAGUCUAGUAGGAAACUUGAGUAGACACUGAAAUUUAAAUAGCCGAACUGUAGGGACUUCCCUGGUGGUCCAGUGGGUAAGACUCCUUGAUCCCAAUGCAGGGGGGCCCAGGUUUGAUCCCAGCUCACAGAACUAGAUCUGGCAUACGUGCCGCACCUAUGAGCCCGCAUGCCGCAACUAAAGGUCCCGAGUGCCACAACUAAGACCCGGUGCAGCCAAAAUAAAUAAGUAGCUGAACUGUAAACAGUUCACUUUUAGCAGUUAAAGUACAUAGUCUCUAUUUUGUAGGUAAAAGAAAACUGUUCCCUCCACAACACUGUUGGACUGCUAAAAACAAAUGAUAUUCAGAGAUCCCCAGAGUCUCAAGAAUGGCCAUCUAUUUGAAAAGUUGGCCUCCAAAAAAAUAAAUAGAUAUUUAAUGUUUUUUUACCCCGCCAUGCCCCGGGACUUGCGGGAUAUUAGUUCCCCAACGAGGGAUUGAACCUGAGCCCUCAGCAGUGAAAAAACAGAGUCUUAACCACUGGACCACCAGGGAAUUCCCCAGAUAUUUAAUUUAAAUCAUGAGGUUUCGUUGGUAAAAAGUAUAAAAUGUGAAGAGCUUUUCUUUGAAUAUUUGACUGUCUGGAAAAUGUCAGUAUGAUUAUCUGCAUACACAUAUGCAGUUAAAAAUCAAGUGAAUUAAACUUUUUAAACCAAUAGUCCUUUUUAUUAUGGGUUUACACUCAAAAAGGAAAAUGCAGUUUGGGACUGAUAGAAAUAAGCUACUAGCCAAAGAAUAGAUCAGAGGCUUGGGCCAGGAUCAGGGCCUCAAAGGGAAACAAUUGUUAUUUAAAUCUUGCUGAUUAGCAAAUGCCCAGGCCCUAUAAAGGUAGGGAUCAAACCAACCACCACCACCACUACCCUUGGUCAAUUUUGUACCAAAUAAUCCAGCAUGCCACAACUACUGAUGCCCACACACCUAGAGCCCGUGCUCUGCAACAAGAGAAGCCACCGCUAUGAGAAGCCCGCGCACCGCAACGAAGAGUAGCCCCGCGCACCACAACUAGAGAAAGCCUGCGCACAGCAGCGAAGACCCAAUGCAGCCAAAAAUAAAUAAUCAGGGAAAUAGAAACCACUGAUGGAGGACUUAAUACCGAGAGCUGGCUACAGACACUCGGAAAGUGCUGACACACCAAACACGGACAGGGAGGCGACGGGGAGAACAGAAACGGCAGAAAACUGCUACCCGCCUGCAGGAAGGUGGGGUGACCUCAGCCCAGGAGGCAGGGCUCCCGCCUGCAGGAAGGUGGGGUGACCUCAGCCCAGGAGGCAGGGCUGCCUGGGGGAAGCCAGAUGGAGCCACAGGGAAAAAGCAGCUGCUGCCGGAGCUGGAGAGAAGGGCAAGUUCCACCGGCUUCUCCAUUCCUCUGGCUUCUGCUGUCCCGUGGCUGAACCUCUCUGGAAGCCACACAGCAAGGAGCAUCAAAGAACCUCCUUCCUUGGGAAUCACUGGAGAGAGGGGACUCCUUGCAGAAGGUGGGAGGGGAUCUGAGAGAAAACAGGCAAGUAGCCAGCCCCCAGCCUUUCUGAAACCCUUUCCUGGAGCUCUUUCAAAACUCACUGGGUGGGGAUGGGGGAGUGGGGAGGGACCAGUCAUUUUCUGUUUGUAACUAUGUUAUGUAUGGGCUGAUUUGUAGGGACCCCCAUACCCGGACGACAAAAAUGCUUACAUUGAGGUCAUGAACCUUAGUACCUCAGAAUGUGACUCUUUUGGGAGAUAGGGCCUUUAAAGUGAUGAUUCAAGUAAGAUGAGGUCAUAUGGGUGGGCCCUGGUCCAGCAUGACUGGACUCCUUUAAGAGAUUAGGACACAGAGGGAAGACCAUGUGAAGGUACAGUGAGAAAAAGGCCAUCCGCAGGCCAAGGAGGGAGUCCUCAGAAGAAACCAACUCUGUGAACACCUUGACCUUGGACUUCUGGCCUCCAGACUGUGAGGAAAUCAAUUUCUGUUGUUUAAGCCAGUCUGUGGUACUUUGUUACAGCAGCCAGAGCUGACUUAUACAUCCUAGUUCUCAGUAACUCUUCUCUCUCUCUUACCCUUCUUUGAACCAUCGGGCACAAGUGAGUCUUUGCCCCCAACUUCUGGCCUCACCUACGUUCUCUUCCUGGGUGGUCCCAUUUGCCCUCUUGGUUUCAGUGGCCACCACUCUGGCCACAAUGCUCAGAUCCUCUGGCCUCUCCCAGGCUCCAGUGCCACAAUUAUUGCUUCUGCAUAUCUCUAUUUGGAUGGUCUCUUGGUAUCUCAGGAGCAACAGGAAUAAAACCAAAUGUAUUUUUCUCCCACAAAUUCCCUCUUCAUCUUGAUUUCUCUACCUCUGUUAAUGACAUCACAUUCUCCUUUUCACCUGGACCUAGAACUUAGUCAUCUUGGAGUCCCUACUCCUCUCCAUUCCUGCAUCCUGUUUAUUUCUGUUUCAGUUGAUGGUACCAUCACACACUGUCUCAGGAGUCUCCAGUCCAGGCCCCCAUUCUGCUCCAUGGGAACACGAACAUGAUAGCCUCCUCGCUAAUUCCCUGCAGGCCUCUUGUUUCCCACUGCCCUGAUUACACCAGCACUCCUCCAUUUGACUUUCUCAAGUGCAGCCCCAGUCCCGUCACUCCCCUUCUCAAACCCUUCAGUGCCCGCCCCUCACCACCAGCAAGUGCAGGGGCUCCUGCCUGGUACUCAGGACCCCCCUUAGUGCCAUCCAUUCCCUUAUUUCACAUCUGCGCACCCAGCACUGCUUGCCACUGUGCAUGUCCCUCCAUUUAACCCUCUCUGUAUGGGCACUGCUGUCCCCGUCUUGCAGAGGAGGAAAUUGAAUUUUAGAGCAAUUAAGUGACUUGCUUAAGGUCUCACAACUACUGGAUUUUCGGGAAGCUGGGGGCUGAAUUUAUGACUUUCUGGCUGCAAAGUCUUACUUGAUAAACUGGGCAGACUGGGAGCAAAGAAUGCCAUAUGCACAAUGAUCAAUAAACAGAAAUGAGACUCAAGAUCCAGGAGGGAACGGGUGGCAGAAGGUUCAGGGUGUGCCACUGGGAGCCCUGAAGACCGCCAUUGGUACCCAGAUCAUAUAGGCUGGAACUGUCCAGAGUUUAGACACACCCACAAAGCUGCUGUGGGAUUUCAUCAGGAGCACCAGGGCAAACAGCUGGCUCUGGAAACACACAAAGCAUAUGCCAGUAGACACAGGGGGCUUCUGAUACAGUUUCUGCACGACAGCUGAAUGUCACUAAUUCAUUACUGUUUUAAGUAUAGGAAAAUCCAGAGUUAAAAACUCGAGUCUAAAUGCAAUGUGGUAAGUAAGUAAAUAAAUAAAUGCAAUGUGGUAUCCUGAAUUGGAUCCUGGAACAGCAAAAGGACUGUAGUGGAAAAACUGGUGAAAUCUGAAGUCUGUAGUUUAGUUAAUAGUAUUGUACUAAUAAUGUUAAUGUUAUGAGGUUUCUGUUUUGUUUUUUGGUGGCUUUUUUAAAUUGAACUAUAGUUGAUGUACAGUGUUGUACCAGUCUCUGCUGUACAGCAAAGUGACUCAGUUACACACAUAUAUACAUUCUUUUUUAUAUUCUUUUCCAUUAUGGUUUAUCCCAGGAGAUUGAGCAUGGUUCCCUGUAGGAACAGUAGCACCUUGUUGUUUAUGCUGUGUGUUUUGAUAAAUCCAUGGUUGUAUAAGAUAUCAACACUGGAGGAAGCUAGGUAAAAGAACUCUGUACUAUUUUUGCAACCUGUUUGUAAGUCCAAAAGUAUUUCAAAAUAAGUUAUGAAAAUUAAACGGUGACCUUCCACAGAA